CCUCGGUGAACAUUCAACGCUGUCGGUGAGUUUUGGUAUGGAUCACAUAGAAACCAUCGACCGUUGACUGUGCCCCGAGG
rfam:Gasterosteus aculeatus cont1.005493, whole genome shotgun sequence.